rnacentral:rRNA from 1 species
AGCGGGGGGCGCCUAAAGUCGCUGUGCUAACCGUAAGGAGGCAGGUGCCUAGGGCGAACUUCGUGAUUGGGACUAAGUCGUAACAAGGUAGCCGUAGGGGAACCUGCGGCUGGAUCACCUCCUUUCUAAGGA